rnacentral:rRNA from 1 species
UACGUAGGGGGCAAGCGUUGUCCGGAAUCAUUGGGCGUAAAGCGCGUGUAGGCGGUUCGGUAAGUCUGCUGUGAAAGUCCAGGGCUCAACCCUGGAACGCCGGUGGAUACUGUCGGGCUAGAGUCCGGAAGAGGCGAGUGGAAUUCCUGGUGUAGCGGUGGAAUGCGCAGAUAUCAGGAGGAACACCGAUGGCGAAGGCAGCUCGCUGGGACGGUACUGACGCUGAGGCGCGAAAGCGUGGGGAGCGAACAGG